GGGGAAUCUUGCACAAUGGGGGCAACCCUGAUGCAGCGACGCCGCGUGAGCGAUGAAGCUCUUCGGGGCGUAAAGCUCUUUCGACCGGAAGAUAAUGACGGUAACCGCAGCAGAAGCCCCGGCUAACUUCGUGCCAGCAGCCGCGGUAAUACGAAGGGGGCUAGCGUUGUUCGGAAUUACUUGGCGUAAAGCGCACGUAGGCGGAUCGGUCAGUUAGGGGUGAAAUCCCAGGGCUCAACCCUGGAACUGCCUUUAAUACUGCCGAUCUGGAGUCCGGAAGAGGUGAGUGGAAUUCCGAGUGUAGAGGUGAAAUUCGUAGAUAUUCGGAGGAACACCAGUGGCGAAGGCGGCUCACUGGUCCGGUACUGACGCUGAGGUGCGAAAGCGUGGGGAGCAAACA
rnacentral:rRNA from 1 species